AAAACAAAAAAAGACAAUGAGAACAAUAUCGGUAAAUACAUAUUGGUGGUGGCGUCCGUUACAACUCCGACAGUCGUAAGGGAGCAGCGCUCGUAUGUAUAUAUCCGAUGUAUAAAUAAGGAACAACAGAAAACAGAAAGAGCCCUGUC
rnacentral:ncRNA from 1 species